GCUGGGCAUGGUGGCGUGUGCCUGUAGUCCCAGCUACUCAGGAGGCUGAGGCAGGAGAAUUGCUUGAACCCGGGAGGUGGAGGUUGUAGUGAGCUGAGAUCGUGCCACUGCACUCCAGCCUGGUGACAGAGUGAGACUCCAUCUCAAAAAAAAAUAAAAUAAAUAAAUAAAUGCAAAAUUAAAGUGUGGUUUCUUAUGCUAGAACAACAAAGUUUUCUUUUUUUUUUUUUUGAGAUGGAGUCUCACUCAGUCGCCCAGGCUGGAGUGCAGUGGCAUGAUCUCGGCUCACUGCAAGCUCCGCCUCCCAGGUUCACGCCAUUCUCCUGCCUCAG
rnacentral:SRP_RNA from 2 species